GUCCUUCUUGCACCAAUCUCCUCCAAGUACACAACUCUCUUAUUAUGGGCACUUUACGCUACUGCUUGCCUGUGUUGCACGGUAUUUCCCACUUCAAGGAACGGUAACUGCUUAAUCUUCAAGCUCGUAGCCUGCGCACUUGCUUGGGAGUCCCGAAGACCGCGGAAACCUUCUCUGCUAUUGCCGAAGCGCGGGUUCCUUCCGUGCUUAUCACCCGGGACACGGCAGCCCUCCAAGCUUACACACGCUGUCUUGUACGAACACCCAUGUCACCACCUUCGUGAUGUUACGCAGCAUUGCCGUGCUUCUGCGUACGGCCAAGCUGUUCUGCGCCUACAAGGAUAAAUUCCACUAUCGCAUACCCUUGGUCUCGUAUACGGAGCCGCUGUGAACCUUAAGUCUGCCCCCCCCCCCCCCCCCCGUGCACACAUUCGUUCCUGGUCUUCCGAAAAAGAGCCAUGUCCCAGCUGUUGUGACAUGCCAAAUAACGCUGCAUCAUUUCCACUCCCUGCACGCGAAUCGAAUGGAGAUUUACACUGACGGCUCGGUGGCAUCCGAUGGAUCAUCAUCUGCAUUUUACAUUCCUGAGGAGGCAUAUGAGCACGGUUUCAAGCUGCUGCCCGCGCUGUCAUCAACCGAAGCAGAAGCCUUUGCUAUCUUAUCUGCUCUGCGGUACAUCUCUUCGUCGACACCAAGAGCGUGGACUAUUCUUUCGGAUAGUAAGUCAGCCAUGGAGGCCCUAGCAUCGUAUUCGCCCAAAAUUAUCAACGACAUCUACACGGAGAUGCUUUGCCUGCACGCCAUACUUUCGUCUCUAGGUUACAGAAUGUGGUUCCAGUGGAUUCCGGGCCACGUUUGUAUCUCGGGGAAUGCCCUCACCGAUUCUGCGGCCAGGUGUGCUGGUGCAGCUGGGUCUGUCACUUCUGUCCUGCUUACCCCGUCUGUCUGCCGGCUAGCCGAUACUGCACAAAUAGCUCUCAGGCCUUUUUUCAAGACGCUGCCAGGACGAACUCUUUUCUGCGCUCGAUUGACCCUAGGAUGACCCACACACUGGUAGGCCGCUACCCCAGGGAGGAAGAGUCCUUGCUCCACAAGUUUCGACUGAAUGUGGCGCGGACUCCACUGCUCCUCUUUAAGAUGGGCCACCUUUCGUCACCCAACUGCCCCACUUGUCAUGUUGGAGACAUCCCGCACAUGCUGCUCCACUGCACCCGUUACCGCCAACAUCGUCUUCUCCUACGGUCGCGCAUCGCUCGCCUCAGGAUUUCGGACUUUUCCCUAGCUACACCCUUACCUGAGUUACUUCUAUUGUUACUUUUAGACCGUUGUUACGUGUAUUUAGAAGUACCAUCGGCUCAAAGGAAGAGGUAACACAGGAAAUUGCGAAUUUUAGAAGUAAAUUGGGUCUCGAAGAGCUGGGGCAGAGGUAACAUGUGGGGAAAACCCCUAUCUUCUCCUGGUUACUUGUACGUGUUACUUCUAGUGGGAGUCCGUGUCUUCUACGUCGUAAUGCGUUCGUACACAAUCACAGCCGCUUUUGAUCGCUUUUGGUCGCUCAUCUGGCAACAGUUUGCAGUAUCACACGAGAAGGGACACUACAUCGCGUCCUCGUGUUUUGUCGGUUGCAUCUUUUGAAAUGCGACGCCUCUGUGGCUGACAAGUUAAAUCACGCUCGUGGUUGUAGAUGUGUUGUGAACUGCUUCCAAAUGACGUUUACAAACAAGGACUUCUGGGGAAUGCCGAGACGCAGAUGCAAAGAGUGCGAGGACUGCAAGAAAUACGUAGUGGAGUCCGGCAGUCGUCAUCUAAAAUAUGAAUGCUGUGCGCACAGCCCGGUUUCACAUACGUGAAAUAGGUGGUGAAGAACAUGUUCAGGACGCGAACUUGCAGCCACAGGAGGAAACUGUGCAUAGCUGUGACGUUUUCCAUGGUAUUUAUUUUCUUACAUAUAACGCCCUGCCAUCCACAAAAUACUUUGCCAUCUGUGUUUGUUGGAAGUUAACAUUUCAGUACUCUCUUCUUUUUAUGUGCAUGUAUCGCUGGCCUCAAAAUUAUGCUGCAUUACACCUUGCCUUGAGGAAGUUCAAUGUGAAGUCCAUACUGUGGCUGGUUUCAUCACUGCCGCUAAAUGUACAAAUAUGGAAGCUCGUGAAUUGGAAAAUCCUCCGUUUUCGGCAAACGACGCUACGAUACCGAACACCGAGUCUUCCAACAGAUCAGAUAUUUAUGGUGGUGAAAGCGGCACCGUCCCCACAGCAACAAGCAAGAAUGAGGACAAGGUCCGUACGCAUGCAUGCCGCCCCUGCAAUUUUACAACACAAUAUUUCACGCGAUUCUGUGAACACAUCAGAGCCCCUUUGGAGCUGUGUUCAUUCUACAUAGUCUCACAUAUGCCACCACAUUGAGAAACGAUAUCUUCGUUAUCUUACGUUGCCAAUACUGGGUUGUGUUUUCCUGAUAUUCACAAUAAAAUACGUGCCC